rnacentral:lncRNA from 1 species
AGCACCAAAUUCUUCGUCUUCACCUUCAUCAGAAUUAUCCGGAAAAUCCACUGAGGUGGUCGAGUUGCACGUGCAGGUAAGGUUGGAUUUAUGUAUAGCAACGUUAAUCUUUCCAAAGUUUUAGGAUAAUUAGUUGUUUGAUUUUCUUACAGCAUUUGUUUUUAUACUGUUAAUAUGUUUUUGUAAAAGGGUUAUAUUAAAAGUGUUUAUUGAAUGGGAUUGAAAAGAUUGUAAUGAUUUUAGCAUGUUUAAAGAGAAGUGAAUGGUUUUUAUAUGGUAAGAAAUAUAUUAAUGAUCGUGCGUGCAGAUAACUUCUUUUGCAUUGCUUUACAUGAUUGAAGAAGUUUGUCGAACAGGGAUGUGGAAGCCUUCUGCAUGCCCUCAUUGCAGGAAUAUGCAAUCGCAACAGCGUAGAUUGCUUCUAUCUGAGAGUGAAGACAACGACACCUGUAACGCCCCAAUUUAAUUAAAGUAAAAUAUUUCAAAAUCCUCUUAGUACGAAAAAUAGUACCAAUUAAAAAUUUUGACAUUCA